rnacentral:misc_RNA from 1 species
GAUGAAGAACGUAGCGAAAUGCGAUAAGUAAUGUGAAUUGCAGAAUUCAGUGAAUCAUCGAAUCUUUGAACGCACAUUGCGCCCGCCAGUAUUCUGGCGGGCAUGCCUGUUCGAGCGUCAUUACAACCCUCAGGCCUCCGGGCCUGGCGUUGGGGAUCGGCGGAGCCCCCCGUGGGCACACGCCGUCCCCCAAAUACAGUGGCGGUCUCGCUGCAGCCUCCCCUGCGUAGUAGCAACACUCGCAUGCGGAGCGCGGCGCGGCCACGCCGUAAAACCCCCGACUUUCUGAACGUUGACCUCGGAUCAGGUAGGAAUACCCGCUGAACUUAAGCAUAUCAAUAAGCGGAGGA